ensembl:lncRNA
CUCAAAUUGUCUGCAUCGGGAAGAUUAUUAACAACAAACAGAACAAAUAUAAGUCUGAUGUGAGCGUGUGCAGGAGCACAAACAAUCCCUGUUUGUUAUCUCUGUCCUCUCUAAUCUGCAGCCUCCAACAGCUGCCCUCAGUUUGAUGUUCUGCAGGACUUAACGUGAUGCUGCUUGACUUUCAGCUCUCUUUGCAUGUCCUUCAUAGCUUAUACAACCUUCCUUUUUCUGUCUGAUGAAGCAGUCCUUCAGAUCUUCACUGUUCCAGCCUUCAGUCAGUGUUUCUUCUCAUUGACAGGAAGCCCCAAAACGUCUGCCCCUGUACCAGCUGUUUCCAUUGUGUUGUGAAGGUGUGGAAGGAUUUCUGAAUGGACCAAUGGGGUCCAAGACUUCCAAGGAAUCAGAGGCCUCAGAGCCAUUUUUAUUUCUAAAGCCCGGUGUGGGUGUGGCUGCUGAAGCCUGAGUUCAGGUGCAUUUUGCUGUAAUGUAAGGCUGCGCUCAGAAGUGAGAUGCAGAGUUCCUGCCUUCACAGAGCCGUGAGAUUCUUUAAAUACACGGCAGAGAAUCAGUGAUGACCCCGAAUGAGAUAUGCUUUAAACUGAAACGCUGUCCUUCCUGUGGGACUGAAGCUCUGGAUUCACCUCUCUGACCUCUGAGCUUUAAUUACAGAGAAACAGAGCACGAGUUAAGAAGACUGGAGUUAUUUAAAGCCACUGAGACCUGACGACACAACCCAGAGCUGCAGCAGUCAAACCUUCCAGCACCAACACACAGUUUUUCUGGUUCAGGAUCAAGCCAGCGGACUCACAUUAAUGGAAGCUGCAAACAGCAACAGGAACUCCAAAGUAACCGACAUGCAGGAGAAGAACAAAGACAGGAAAGGAGAUCAGGAUCAGAGCCCCUGGCCCGGGCCACACUGAGCGCUGCAGCCCUGCUUCAUGGUGGCAAUCAGCUUUUGCACCGGCGACCGUGCCGCCAAGGCCACACGGAGACUGAUUUUUAGUCACGCACACACGUGAGUGGAACUGAUGAGUGAGGAGAGCACGUCUCUCGCCCCCUUUAGCAGGUGUAGUCGCACAGCCGCCGUGUUUGCAGUGUUUCCUACAUGAGUGUGUGUGUGUGCGUGUGUGUUCGUGUUGAGUAUCAUGAUAUUUAUCGCGUGUUCAGUUGUACGGGUUCUUGUGAUAUUUUGAGAUCCAGUGCGUUUGUUCAUGGAAGACUUGAAGAAACAUUUGUUCUUAAAUAUUCUGAUAAACUUAUAUCCUGCCAAACUGUUGUAUAGCAACCACAGCGCACGUUGGUGUGUAACUCCCUGCCGUGUGUCUUCAUAUGGAUAAGAACUUACAAUAACAUGGACAUCGUCUUCAUAUGAUUAUUUUCUAAGUGACUUUGUAAAUGAUAGAGGUAGAUCUGAUCCUGGUGUUGAGUUUAUUUUUCUGCAGUGUAACCAUGGACUAAUUCUUAGAGAGUUCCUGUAAACUUGUUGUCUUAUGGUUUGCUCCUGUUCGGGGAGAAGCACAAAGUGAUUGUAC